GCCAGGCAUAGUGGCGUGUGCCUUUAGUCCCAGCUACUUGGGAGGCUGAGGUGGGAGGAUCACUUGAGCUCAGGGAGUUUGAGGCUGCAGUGAUCCAAGAUUGUGCCACUGCACUCCAGUCUGGGCAACAGAGGGAGACCCCGUCCCCC
rnacentral:SRP_RNA from 1 species